rnacentral:rRNA from 1 species
UCAAGUUAUUAAGGGUGCAGGGCGGAUGCCUUGGCCACUAGGAGCCGAUGAAGGACGUGAUAAGCUGCGAUAAGCUUCGGGGAGUUGCACGUAAACUUUGAUCCGAAGAUUUCCGAAUGAGGAAACUCACUUAGAGUAAUGUCUAAGUAUCAUUAAGUGAAUACAUAGCUUAAUGAGGGGAACUCAGGGAACUGAAACAUCUAAGUACCUGAAGGAAGAGAAAGAAAUUCGAUUCCGUAAGUAGCGGCGAGCGAACGCGGAUUAGCCCAAACCAAUAAAGUUUUCUUUAUUGGGGUUGCGGACAUAUCAUAACGAAGAGGUAUCGUAAUUGAAGAGGUUUGGAAAGACCCACCACAGAAGGUAAUAGUCCUGUAUGUUAAACGAGAAGACUUCAGAUAUGAUCCAGAGUACCACGGGACACGUGAAACCCUGUGGGAAGCAGGAGGGACCACCCUCCAAGGCUAAAUACUACCUAGUGACCGAUAGCGUAUAGUACCGUGAGGGAAGGUGAAAAGAACCCCGGGAGGGGAGUGAAAUAGAACCUGAAACCCUGCACUUACAAGCUGUGGAAGCACAUUUCUUGUGUGACCGCGUACUUUUUGUAGAACGGGCCAACGAGUUACGUUAAGUAGCAAGGUUAAGCACUUAAGGUGCGGAGCCGUAGCGAAAGCGAGUUUUAACUGAGCGUUCAGUUACUUGACGUAGACCCGAAACCGGGCGACCUACCCAUGAGCAGGAUGAAGCGAAAGUAAAAUUUCGUGGAGGUCCGAACCCACGAGCGUUGAAAAGCUCGGGGAUGACUUGUGGGUAGCGGUGAAAUUCCAAUCGAGCCCGGAGAUAGCUGGUUCUCCCCGAAAUAGCUUUAGGGCUAGCCUCAAGGUGAGAGAUACGGAGGUAGAGCACUGAAUGUCCUAGGGGGUAUUGCACCUACCGAAGACUAUCAAACUCCGAAUGCCGUCAUCUUAUACUUGGGAGUCAGACUGUGGGUGAUAAGAUUCAUAGUCGAAAGGGCAACAGCCCAGAUCGUCAGCUAAGGUCCCUAAAUGUAAGUUAAGUGGUAAAGGAUGUGGGAUUGCACAGACAACCAGGAUGUUGGCUUAGAAGCAGCCACUCAUUCAAAGAGUGCGUAAUAGCUCACUGGUCGAGUGAUCCUGCGCCGAAGAUUUCCGGGGCUAAAACUUACUACCGAAGCUACGGCAUCAGUAAUGAUGGGUAGGGGAGCUUCCCAUACAGGUUGAAGCAUGACCGUAAGGACAUGUGGACAGUAUGGGAGUGAGAAUGUUGGCAUGAGUAGCGAGAUGUGGGUGAGAAUCCCACAGGCCGUAAACCCAAGGUUUCCAGGGGAAGGUUCGUCCGCCCUGGGUUAGUCGGGACCUAAGCUGAGGCCGAAAGGCGUAGGUGAUGGACAACAGGUUGAUAUUCCUGUACUACCGAUAACCGUUUGAGAGAAGGGAUGACACAGUAGGAUAAGCUAAGCACACUGUUGGUUAUGUGUGCCUAAGCAUUGAGGCAGUCAAAGCAGGCAAAUCCGCUUUGAUAAUGCUGGGAUGUGAUGGGGAGCGAAAUUUAGUAGCGAAGUAGCUGAUUUCACACUGUCAAGAAAAGUCUCUAUCGAGGUUAAAGGUACCCGUACCGCAAACCGACACAGGUGGGUGAGGAGAGUAUCCUAAGGCCAGCGAGAGAACUGUUGUUAAGGAACUCGGCAAAAUGACCCCGUAACUUAGGGAUAAGGGGUGCCACCAUCCGGUGGCCGCAGAGAAUAGGCCCAAGCGACUGUUUACCAAAAACAUAGGUUUCUGCUAAGUCGCAAGACGAUGUAUAGGAGCUGACGCCUGCCCGGUGCUGGAAGGUUAAGGGGAUCUGUUAGAGCAAUCGAAGCAGUGAACUUAAGCCCCAGUAAACGGCGGCCGUAACUAUAACGGUCCUAAGGUAGCGAAAUUCCUUGUCGGGUAAGUUCCGACCCGCACGAAAGGCGUAACGAUUUGGGCACUGUCUCAACAACAGACUCGGUGAAAUUGUAAUUCCGGUGAAGAUGCCGGAUACCUGCGACAGGACGGAAAGACCCCAUGGAGCUUUACUGUAGCUUGACAUUGGGUCUUGGUACUACAUGUACAGGAUAGGUGGGAGGCUUUGAAACCAGGACGCCAGUUUUGGCGGAGCCAUCCUUGGGAUACCACCCUUGUAGUACUGGGACUCUAACCAUAGGCCAUGAAUCUGGUCUUGGGACACUGUCAGGUGGGCAGUUUGACUGGGGCGGUCGCCUCCCAAAAGGUAACGGAGGCGCUCAAAGGUUCUCUCAGUACGGUCGGAAAUCGUACGUAGAGUGUAAAGGCAAAAGAGAGCUUGAUUGCAAGACAUACAGGUCGAGCAAGGAUGAAAAUCGGACUUAGUGAUCCGGUGGUUCUGCGUGGAAGGGCCAUCGCUCAACGGAUAAAAGCUACCCUGGGGAUAACAGGCUUAUCUCCCCCAAGAGUCCACAUCGACGGGGAGGUUUGGCACCUCGAUGUCGGCUCAUCACAUCCUGGGGCUGUAGUAGGUCCCAAGGGUUGGGCUGUUCGCCCAUUAAAGUGGUACGCGAGCUGGGUUCAGAACGUCGUGAGACAGUUCGGUCCCUAUCCGUCGCAGGCGUAGGAAAUUUGAGAAGACCUGUCCUUAGUACGAGAGGACCGGGAUGGACGUACCUCUGGUGUACCAGUUGUCCUGCCAAGGGCAUGGCUGGGUAGCUAUGUACGGAAUGGAUAAGCGCUGAAAGCAUCUAAGCGCGAAGCCAACUUCAAGAUAAGAUUUCCCACCGCAAGGGUAAGACCCCAGAAAGACUAUCUGGUUGAUAGGUCGAAGGUGUAAGUGCAGCAAUGUAUUUAGCUUAUCGAUACUAAUAGGUCGAGGACUUGACCAA